GCUCCAAGUCGCGCCGGGAGCCUGGGCGCCAAGGGUCCCGCUGAAGUGUUCCCUCCUCUUCUUCCUCCUCUUCCUGAGUCCGCCAGCUAACGCGGACUGGAACUCUCCCGGAAGAAUGAAAGAACGCUUCUACUGGGAAAAUUUUGUAAAGAGUCUUCAAAAUCAGGGGUGGAUUUUAUACCUACAGCACAUGUCAAUUCAGAUUAGCCCUAUUUCAAGUACUCAUGUGGCUAUGUGAAGGUCUAGGAUAUGCCUUUCCUAGAAGAAGUUAACCGGGAGGCCAAGAUAAUAAUCAGAAGACUCUCUGGUGAGCAUGGAAUCAGAACGGGGGGUGCUGGAUAGUC